CCUAAACACUGAAUGGCGACCGAUAGCGCAUAGUACCGUGAGGGAAAGGUGAAAAGAACCCCGGGAGGGGAGUGAAAUAGAACCUGAAACCCUGCACUUACAAGCUGUGGGAGCACAUUACUUGUGUGACCGCGUACUUUUUGUAGAACGGGCCAACGAGUUACGUUAAGUAGCAAGGUUAAGCACUUAAGGUGUGGAGCCGUAGCGAAAGCGAGUCUUAAAUGGGCGAUUAAGUUACUUGGCGUAGACCCGAAACCGGGCGACCUAUCCAUGAGCAGGUUGAAGCGAAAGUAAAAUUUCGUGGAGGACCGAACCCACGAGCGUUGAAAAGCUCGGGGAUGACUUGUGGAUAGCGGUGAAAUUCCAAUCGAGCCCGGAGAUAGCUGGUUCUCCCCGAAAUAGCUUUAGGGCUAGCCUCAAGCGUAGAGAAACGGAGGUAGAGCACUGAAUGUCCUAGGGGGUAUUGCACUUACCGAAGACUAUCAAACUCCGAAUGCCGUUUUCUUUUACUUGGGAGUCAGACUGUGGGUGAUAAGAUUCAUAGUCAAAAGGGCAACAGCCCAGAUCGUCAGCUAAGGUCCCUAAAUGUACGUUAAGUGGUAAAGGAUGUGGGAUUGCACAGACAACCAGGAUGUUGGCUUAGAAGCAGCCACUCAUUUAAAGAGUGCGUAAUAGCUCACUGGUCGAGUGAUCCUGCGCCGAAAAUUUCCGGGGCUAAAACGUACUACCGAAGCUACGGCAUCAUUUAUGAUGGGUAGGGGAGCUUCGUAUGCAGGCUGAAGCAUGACCGUAAGGACAUGUGGACAGUAUACGAGUGAGAAUGUUGGCAUGAGUAGCGAGACGUGGGUGAGAAUCCCACGGGCCGUAAACCCAAGGUUUCCAGGGGAAGGUUCGUCCGCCCUGGGUUAGUCGGGACCUAAGCCGAGGCCGAAAGGCGUAGGUGAUGGACAACAGGUUGAUAUUCCUGUACCGCCAAUAAGCGUUUGAGAGAUGGAGUGACACAGUAGGAUAAGCUAACCGUACUGUUGGUUAUGUACGGCUAAGCAUUGAGGCAGUCUAAAUAGGCAAAUCCGUUUAGACAAUGCUAGGAUGUGAUGGGGAAGCCCUUCGGGGCGAAGUAGCUGAUUUCACACUGUCAAGAAAAGCUUCUAUCGAGUUUAAAGGCGCCCGUACCGUAAACCGACACAGGUGGGUGAGGAGAGUAUCCUAAGGCCAGCGAGAGAACUAUUGUUAAGGAACUCGGCAAAAUGACCCCGUAACUUAGGGAGAAGGGGUGCCUGUCUAUGACAGGCCGCAGAGAAUAGGCCCAAGCGACUGUUUACCAAAAACACAGGUUUCUGCUAAGUCGCAAGACGAUGUAUAGGAGCUGACGCCUGCCCGGUGCUGGAAGGUUAAGGGGAUCUGUUAGAGCAAUCGAAGCAGUGAACUUAAGCCCCAGUAAACGGCGGCCGUAACUAUAACGGUCCUAAGGUAGCGAAAUUCCUUGUCGGGUAAGUUCCGACCC
rnacentral:rRNA from 1 species